AGUGAACGCUGGCGGUAGGCCUAACACAUGCAAGUCGAACGGCAGCACAGUAAGAGCUUGCUCUUACGGGUGGCGAGUGGCGGACGGGUGAGGAAUACAUCGGAAUCUACUUUUUCGUGGGGGAUAACGUAGGGAAACUUACGCUAAUACCGCAUACGACCUACGGGUGAAAGCAGUGGAUCUUCGGACCUUGCGCGAUUGAAUGAGCCGAUGUCGGAUUAGCUAGUUGGCGGGGUAAAGGCCCACCAAGGCGACGAUCCGUAGCUGGUCUGAGAGGAUGAUCAGCCACACUGGAACUGAGACAGGGUCCAGACUCCUACGGGAGGCAGCAGUGGGGAAUAUUGGACAAAGGGCGCAAGCCUGAUCCAGCCAUACCGCGUGGGUGAAGAAGGCCUUCGGGUUGUAAAGCCCUUUUGUUGGGAAAGAAAAGCAGUCGGUUAAUACCCCGCUGUUCUGACGGUACCCAAAGAAUAAGCACCGGCUAACUUCGUG
rnacentral:rRNA from 1 species